GGAAGGACUGUAGUUCAGUGGUAGAGCAUCUGCCUUGCGUGCAGAAGGUCGCAGGUUCAAUCCCUGGUGUCUCCA